GCAGCAGCCGCGGUAAAACGUAGGUGGCAAGCGUUGUCCGGAAUUAUUGGGCGUAAAGCGCGCGCAGGCGGAUCGGUCAGUCUGUCUUAAAAGUUCGGGGCUUAACCCCGUGAUGGGAUGGAAACUGCCAAUCUAGAGUAUCGGAGAGGAAAGUGGAAUUCCUAGUGUAGCGGUGAAAUGCGUGGAUAUUAGGAAGAACACCAGUGGCGAAGGCGACUUUCUGGACGAAAACUGACGCUGAGGCGCGAAAGCCAGGGGAGCGAACGGGAUUAGAUACCCGAGUAGUCCCUGUCUCUUAUACA
rnacentral:rRNA from 1 species